AUGACUCUGACCUGCGUCCUCAUCUGGACUCUCCUCUGCUGCUGCUUCACAGAGUCCAGAGGCCAAGUCACAGUGACUCAGCCUGGAGCAGUGAGAUCAGCUGUGGGAAACUCCGCCACCAUCUCAUGCAGAACCAGUCAGAAUGUUUAUAGCUCAAACUAUUUAGCCUGGUACCAACAGAGAGAUGGAGAAACUCCUCAACUGCUCAUUUACUAUGCUUCCAGUCGAGCAUCAGGGAUUCCAGGUCGUUUUACAGGCAGUGGAUCAAACUCUGACUUCACUCUGACCAUCAGUGGAGUCCAGGCUGAAGAUGCUGCAGUUUACUACUGUCAGAGUUUUCAUGUUAUCAACAGUCAAUACGUGUUCACACAGUGAAAAAGCGUCAUACAAAAACCUCCGUCAGUCAGAAUGAACACAAAGUGAAGUGAGACUGACACAGUUCACUGAGGACACACACACACAACACACACACACACACACACACACACACACAGAGCAAUUGUUUGAUGAAGUUUAUUGAAGCGUCUCAGUGUAGACGACUUGAUUACAGUGAAUAUAGAUGAAUUCAAACACAAUUGUAAAUCUCCAUCAGACAUGGUUCAGUUCUUUGUCUAAUUCUUUUCACACAUUUAUUAAAAAACCUGUUUGUUUCCAUUAGGAAAUCCAUCAGCACCUCA